UGACCGCUGGCGGCGUGCCUAAUACAUGCAAAUCGAGCGAACAGACGAGGAGCUUGCUCCUCUGACGUUAGCGGCGGACGGGUGAGUAACACGUGGAUAACCUACCUAUAAGACUGGGAUAACUUCGGGAAACCGGAGCUAAUACCGGAUAAUAUAUUGAACCGCAUGGUUCAAUAGUGAAAGACGGUUUUGCUGUCACUUAUAGAUGGAUCCGCGCCGCAUUAGCUAGUUGGUAAGGUAACGGCUUACCAAGGCAACGAUGCGUAGCCGACCUGAGAGGGUGAUCGGCCACACUGGAACUGAGACACGGUCCAGACUCCUACGGGAGGCAGCAGUAGGGAAUCUUCCGCAAUGGGCGAAAGCCUGACGGAGCAACGCCGCGUGAGUGAUGAAGGUCUUCGGAUCGUAAAACUCUGUUAUUAGGGAAGAACAAAUGUGUAAGUAACUAUGCACGUCUUGACGGUACCUAAUCAGAAAGCCACGGCUAACUACGUG
rnacentral:rRNA from 1 species